GAUGAAGAACGUAGCGAAAUGCGAUAAGUAAUGCGAAUUGCAGAAUUUCCGUGAGUCAUCGAAUCUUUGAACGCACAUUGCGCCCGCCAGUAUUCUGGCGGGCAUGCCUGUUCGAGCGUCAUUUCAACCAUCAAGCCCCCGGCUUGUGUUGGGGACCUGCGGCUGCCGCAGGCCCUGAAAACCAGUGGCGGGCUCGCUAGUCACUCCGAGCGUAGUAAUACAUCUCGCUCAGGGCGUGCUGCGGGUUCCGGCCGUUAAAAAGCCUUAUUUACCCAAGGUUGACCUCGGAUCAGGUAGGAAGACCCGCUGAACUUAAGCAUAUCAAUAAGCGGAGGA
rnacentral:misc_RNA from 1 species